rnacentral:rRNA from 1 species
GACGAACGCUGGCGGCGUGCCUAAUACAUGCAAGUCGAACGCUUUGAUUUUCACCGGAGCUUGCUCCACCGAAAAUCAAAGAGUGGCGGACGGGUGAGUAACACGUGGGCAACCUGCCCAACAGAGGGGGAUAACACUUGGAAACAGGUGCUAAUACCGCAUAAUUUGUUUUCCCGCAUGGGAGAAUAAUAAAAGACGCUUCGGUGUCACUGUUGGAUGGGCCCGCGCUGCAUUAGUUAGUUGGUGGGGUAAUGGCCUACCAAGACCGUGAUGCAUAGCCGACCUGAGAGGGUGAUCGGCCACACUGGGACUGAGACACGGCCCAGACUCCUACGGGAGGCAGCAGUAGGGAAUCUUCGGCAAUGGACGAAAGUCUGACCGAGCAACGCCGCGUGAGUGAAGAAGGUUUUCGGAUCGUAAAACUCUGUUGUUAGAGAAGAACAAGUGGGAGAGUAACUGUUCCCACCUUGACGGUAUCUAACCAGAAAGCCACGGCUAACUACGUGCCAGCAGCCGCGGUAAUACGUAGGUGGCAAGCGUUGUCCGGAUUUAUUGGGCGUAAAGCGAGCGCAGGCGGUUUCUUAAGUCUGAUGUGAAAGCCCUCGGCUCAACCGAGGAAGGUCAUUGGAAACUGGGGAGCUUGAAUGCAGAAGAGGAGAGUGGAAUUCCAUGUGUAGCGGUGAAAUGCGUAGAUAUAUGGAGGAACACCAGUGGCGAAGGCGACUCUCUGGUCUGUAAUUGACGCUGAGGCUCGAAAGCGUGGGGAGCAAACAGG